GUCCUGAUAGUAUAAAAAAUUACUCUGGUUUUGUAAGCCAAAAAUGAAGAAACACUCUUCUCAGGACA